rnacentral:rRNA from 1 species
CCUACGGGAGGCAGCAGUGAGGAAUAUUGGUCAAUGGUCGGGAGACUGAACCAGCCAAGCCGCGUGAGGGAUGAAGGUACAGAGUAUCGUAAACCUCUUUUGUCAGGGAACAAAGGCGGGGACGUGUCCCCGGAUGAGUGUACCUGAAAAAAAAGCAUCGGCUAACUCCGUGCCAGCAGCCGCGGUAAUACGGGGGAUGCGAGCGUUAUCCGGAUUUAUUGGGUUUAAAGGGUGCGCAGGCGGUCUGUUAAGUCAGCGGUAAAAGCCCGGGGCUCAACCCCGGCCCGCCGUUGAAACUGGCAGUCUCGAGUUGGAGAGAAGUAUGCGGAAUGCGCGGUGUAGCGGUGAAAUGCAUAGAUAUCGCGCAGAACUCCGAUUGCGAAGGCAGCAUGCCGGCUCCACACUGACGCUGAGGCACGAAAGCGUGGGUAUCGAACAGGAUUAGAUACCCUUGUAGUC